CCUACGGGAGGCAGCAGUGAGGAAUAUUGGUCAAUGGCCGGAAGGCUGAACCAGCCAUGCCGCGUGAAGGUCAGUGCCCUAUGGGCGUUAAACUUCUUUUUUGCAGGAGCAAUAAUGGUCACGUGUGGCCAGACGAGAGUACCGUACGAAUAAGCAUUGGCUAACUCCGUGCCAGCAGCCGUGGUAAUAAGGGGGAUGCAAGCGUUAUCCGGAUUUAUUGGGUUUAAAGGGUGCGUAGGCGGGGAGGUAAGUCAGCGGUGAAAUGCCCCCGGUCAACGGGGUGAAGUGCCAUUGAUACUGGCUGGCUGGAAUGCGGAUGCGGUGGGAGGAAUGUGUGGUGUAGCGGUGAAAUGCAUAGAUAUCACACAGAACACCGAUUGCGAAGGCAUCUCACGAAUCCGCGAUUGACGCUGAUGCACGAAAGCGUGGGUAUCAAACAGGAUUAGAUACCCCAGUAGUC
rnacentral:rRNA from 1 species